rnacentral:rRNA from 1 species
GAUGAACGCUGGCGGCGUGCCUAAUACAUGCAAGUCGAGCGAAUGGAUUAAGAGCUUGCUCUUAUGAAGUUAGCGGCGGACGGGUGAGUAACACGUGGGUAACCUGCCCAUAAGACUGGGAUAACUCCGGGAAACCGGGGCUAAUACCGGAUAACAUUUUGAACCGCCUGGUUCGAAAUUGAAAGGCGGCUUCGGCUGUCACUUAUGGCUGGACCCGCGUCGCAUUAGCUAGUUGGUGAGGUAACGGCUCACCAAGGCAACGAUGCGUAGCCGACCUGAGAGGGUGAUCGGCCACACUGGGACUGAGACACGGCCCAGACUCCUACGGGAGGCAGCAGUAGGGAAUCUUCCGCAAUGGACGAAAGUCUGACGGAGCAACGCCGCGUGAGUGAUGAAGGCUUUCGGGUCGUAAAGCUCUGUUGUUAGGGAAGAACAAGUGCUAGUUGAAUAAGCUGGCACCUUGACGGUACCUAACCAGAAAGCCACGGCUAACUACGUGCCAGCCGCCGCGGUAA